UAGGGAAUCUUCGGCAAUGGGGGCAACCCUGACCGAGCAACGCCGCGUGAGUGAAGAAGGUUUUCGGAUCGUAAAGCUCUGUUGUAAGAGAAGAACGUGUGUGAGAGUGGAAAGUUCACACAGUGACGGUAACUUACCAGAAAGGGACGGCUAACUACGUGCCAGCAGCCGCGGUAAUACGUAGGUCCCGAGCGUUGUCCGGAUUUAUUGGGCGUAAAGCGAGCGCAGGCGGUUUAAUAAGUCUGAAGUUAAAGGCAGUGGCUUAACCAUUGUUCGCUUUGGAAACUGUUAAACUUGAGUGCAGAAGGGGAGAGUGGAAUUCCAUGUGUAGCGGUGAAAUGCGUAGAUAUAUGGAGGAACACCGGUGGCGUAAGCGGCUCUCUGGUCUGUAACUGACGCUGAGGCUCGAAAGCGUGGGGAGCAAACAGG
rnacentral:rRNA from 1 species